CGACGUUGAUUAUGCUUCUGCCGCAUAGCGGACAUGAAGCACAGUCGUCCUAACGGGAAACGGUUAGGAUUACGAUCGGGUGAAUUGCUGGGAACCCCUUAGAGCCUUUGAUGCGACAGCGAAGCCGGAAACGGCAAACGUAAACGCUAGAAAAAUUAAAGGAUUGGGCAAUCAGCAGCCAAGCUCCUGUUCCGAAAGGAUGGAGAAGGUUCAACGACUAGGAUAAACCACUGUCUGGGUGAUGAAAUCCGUAGGAAAGUAGAGCUUUCCGAAGUGCCCGACCCCUACUAGAAUAGCUAGAGGGUGAAGAUAUAGUCUGGUCAAUCAUGAGAGUGAUUG
rnacentral:ncRNA from 1 species